rnacentral:rRNA from 1 species
GAUGAACGCUGGCGGCGUGCCUAAUACAUGCAAGUCGAGCGAACAGAUAAGGAGCUUGCUCCUUUGACGUUAGCGGCGAACGGGUGAGUAACACGUGGGUAACCUACCUAUAAGACUGGGAUAACUUCGGGAAACCGGAGCCAAUCCCGGAUAAUAUUUCGAACCGCAUGGUUCGAUAGUGGAAGGUGGUUGUGCUAUCGCUUAUGGAUGGACCCGCGCCGUAGUAGCUAGUUGGCGGGGUAACGGCCUACCAAGGCGUCGAUCGGUAGCCGACCUGAGAGGGUGAUCAGACACAAUGGGACUGAGACACGGGCCAGACUGCUACGGGAGGCAGCAGUGGGGAAUAUUGGAAAAUGGGAGCAAGCCUGAUCCAGCAAUGCCGCGUGGGUGAAGAAGGUCUUCGGAUUGUAAAGCCCUUGCGGCGGGGACGAUGGUGACGGUACCCGCAGAAGAAGCCCCGGCUAACUUCGUG